rnacentral:tRNA from 1 species
GAGGAUGUAAUUCAAUGGUAGAAUGCUUGCCUAGCAUGUGAAAAGCCCUAGGUUCAAUCCCUAGUACCACCA